rnacentral:rRNA from 1 species
GAUGAACGCUGGCGGCGUGCCUAACACAUGCAAGUCGAGCGGACGGACGAGGCUCUUGCGUCUUUGACGUUAGGGGCGGGCGGGUGAGUCACACGAGUAUCCCGUACCUAUAAGUCUGGGAUCACUACGGGAAAGCGUAUAAAAUACGGGAUAAGAUUUUGAACCGCGGGGGUCAUAGGAGAAAGACGGUCUUGGUGUCACUAAUAGAGGGUUCCGGGCUGCUUUAGCUAGUUGGUACGGUAACGGCUUACCAAGGCAACGAUGCGUAGCCGACCGGAGAGGGUGAUAGGCCACACUGGAACGGAGACGCGGUCCAGAGUCCUGCGGGAGGCAGCAGUCGGGAAUGUUAGGCAGUGGGCGAAAGCCUGACGCAGCAACGCCGCGUGUGUGAUGAAGGUCUUCGGAUCGUAAAGCUCUGUUAUUAGGGAAGAACAGAUGUGUAAGGAAAUGUGGACGUCUUGACGGUACCUAAUCAAAAAGCCACGGCUAACUACGUG